UACGUAGGGUGCGAGCGUUAAUCGGAAUUACUGGGCGUAAAGCGUGCGCAGGCGGCGCGUUAAGACAGGUGUGAAAGCCCCGAGCUUAACUUGGGAAUUGCGCUUGUGACUGGCGAGCUGGAGUGUGGCAGAGGGAGGUGGAAUUCCACGUGUAGCAGUGAAAUGCGUAGAUAUGCGGAGGAACACCGAUGGCGAAGGCAAUCCCCUGGACCUGUACUGACGCUCAUGCACGAAAGCGUGGGGAGCAAACAGG
rnacentral:rRNA from 1 species